CAAAAUGAAACCUCUUUACGUAUUGACAAAGCGAUUGAUGUUUCAAUAAACGUUAAUAAUAUAAAGUCGGUACAAAUGGCAAAUACACAUAUUUACAUCUUGUGUUUAUUUCACAUAGUUUCAUAUGAACAGAAUGGGAUCGCGUUACAAUAUUAAUCGGAACAGCAAUAUUUUUAAUCAUAUUAGUAAUACUCCACGAGACUACAUUGAAUAUACAGGAAUACUAAAUCGGUCGAUUUGGACACAAGAUGAAGUUAAUACCAUGGAAAUUAUAGAACUAGAUUCGUCAUGUAGCACGCUGACACCCAAAUCACCAGACCCACAAACAUCUUGGAAUUAUAACGUACGGAAGAAACACGAUGUCAAGGGUAAUCUUAAUGUUACUAAGACACUAAAUGACAGACCAGAAUGUAGCUUCACAAAGGAAUUUGGAAUUAAUGAUUACAACAAACAAAAUCGAAAUAAAUGUGACGAACGCACUAAAAAUAUUAGCCCUCUGAAAGAAAGAGUCGCGUUCAAUCGCGAAAUUAAUUGUUUCACGAUAGUCAAUAGACACUUCGACUAUUCUGACACCUCUUCGGAAUAUGAAGAUCGUGACAUCGAAUUAUUUGCUGCAAGCGGCGACAUAAAUCGUGAAACCGUAAAUUGGAAUCAAGAUCAUUAUCAAAAAACUAUGAACGCAUUUAAUACGAAAGAUCAUGAGAAAACUAUCUGGAUAUAUUCAUACAAAAAUAAAAAUUUGCUAUCUGAUUAUGAACCAAUAAAUUAUUCGAACGAAACAAGUAGCUCUAGUUCUCGCGAUUUUAAUGUUAACGAUUUGACUAAAAGUAGCAGCAGUACAGAAACAUCUAGGCUGCCGUCACCAAUUCCAACCACGUACGUUCCUAGACUGAAUCUGACAUUAGGCCAAACUCUCUCUACACUCACAGAGGUAACAGAACCCGUUAGACCCGAAAUGUUAAACGUAUGCAACUCUUUACAGAAACAAUUUAACAGUUGGUUCCCUGAUCAAGAUACCGGCGAUUCCGAUGACAGUAAUGAAAAAUCUAGAAAAUUGAUUACUCAGAUGGGUUUAUCGCCACGAUUUAACAAAAGAAGCCGUAGAAGAUGUGCAGAAUUCGUUGGUGACAUAGAAUUACGUUCUCACCCCAAAAAACAAGAUAAACAAACUUCCACUACUGCGAAUCCGAGCUUAGAAGUCCAAAAGCGUUUAGACGAGAAAUUACACUUCAAGUCUAUUUUUACGUCCUCAACAGCUAGCAGGGAUGAUAAGCUUGCAAAAAUCCACGAAGAAAUUGAACCUUUCAAUGAAAGUACCACGUCUCAUGAAGAUUUCGGCACAAAUGAAGCGCGAAUCGAAAGAAAGCGUUUACGGAAACCGCAUAUAACUAUGGAACGCACAUUUACAAAGGACAAAAUUACUGAUCCAAUCGAAAAGUUAGAAUGCAACAACUGGAUUAUUGAAGAGAAUGACAACAAUAAUUCCGCGAUUACAGAUUUUGUUUUAAGUAAUAUGGAAGAGGAUAAUCUCAACUGCGGUGUUAACAUUGAUAGUAAAGUGACUAAACAAGAUAUGCUAUGGACGAGAAACGCGGCGGCAUUACUUAGGCCCGCGCAAUGGGGUGAAUAUUUAGCAAUAACUGAAACACCAUUAACGCCACAAUUAUCACUUAGUAACGUAGAAACAAAAUCGUGCUUUACGCGUUUCAUUAAUUGGUUUAAAUGCUGGAAAUAAAUAAAUGUAAAUAAAGAAAACAA